AAAGAGCUAGUUAAAAAAUAACCCCAGAUUGUCAGACUGGAAUUAUCUGUAACCACCCUGAUGCUCUUU
rnacentral:tRNA from 11 species